rnacentral:lncRNA from 1 species
GCUAUGGGUACCAGAUUGACGCCCAGCCAAGCAGAAUCCUGCCUUGGGCUUUACACUAACGGAAGGUCCUUUUUCUUAUGGUUAGGGGACCCAGAAGGCCGGCAGCAGGGUUCCCUGACAAAAGCAUGUAGUUGAGUACAAGUAUCAAUCCGAGGGACAAGAGGGAGAGACAAGAACCAGUCUCAGCUGCAUUCACAUCCUGGACCCUGUCAUCUCAAAGCCAGUUCCCUCCCUGCCUUCCAACUUGGUUUCAUUCACUUUGGAUUGAGUUGCGUUCUCACUGAACAGAAACCCACAACCCAAAACAAGGGCAGCCCAUGGCCGUGAUUAAGCUCUGCACCAGUGGCGAAGGGAUGGAGUGGGAGACCAGAAUUCCAGCUCUGCCCUCUGUGCGGCCUCAAGGGAGUUAUGAACUUCUGAGCCUUAGACAUGCUUCCUGAGCUGCCACCAAGCUGCCUCAUGGGGCUGUCCUAAGGAUUAAUGUAUUAAUCCAAUCCCAGGCACAUCAGUCAUUAAUAAAAUUAAGGAUACGGUGACAACUAAGCCCACUACCUUUGGAAGUAACUCCUUACUAACUACAUUAAACCCAAACUCGAGGCUCUGGAAAAGAGGAUGCCAGCUGGGAGACAAAACGGCAGAAAGGAAGGUUUCUCCAGGCUCUGGCCAGACAAAAUCCUUCUCUGCAGAAGAUGCUGCUCCAGGGUCCCAACUCUGGCCACAGUCCCCUUUUCCCACCAAGUUUCUGUACCCCAGCAGUUCUCUCCAAAAUCCAUCAGACCCCAAAACCCGAGAAUGGACCUCUGAUGAAAGCAUCUGAGAGCCGUCCAGCCCCAAAAGGAGACAAGCAGGGUCACAUCUGGGUUCCAGAAGCGUCCAGGGAAGCAAACCACUGAUUUAUACACACCAGAAAAGAUACCUGAGAGUGUAUAUUUAUAGAAAGAUACAUAGAAAUGGACAGAUGGCAUCUAUCUAUAGAUACAGAAAGCUCUGUUAGAGAACCGUGUAGGUACGUAUGUAUCUGCCACAUCCUCCACCACAACCAACAGCACACAAUUGCCUGGAUCUUGGAAAACCACGC